AACCCAUGGUGAAAGCACUGUCUCAAUAAGUCCUUAUACCUCUUCCAUGCAUCAUAUAAGGUCUCUAAGCCAAUCUGAACAAAAGGAAGAGAUAUCAUUUCUCAACUU
rfam:Gossypium arboreum cultivar AKA8401 contig_14319_1, whole genome shotgun sequence.